rnacentral:rRNA from 1 species
UACAUGGGGUGCAAACGUUGCUCGGAAUCAUUGGGCGUAAAGCGCGCGCAGGCGGUUCUUUAAGUCUGGUGUUUAAACCCGAGGCUCAACUUCGGGACGCACUGGAAACUGGGGAACUUGAGUGCAGAAGAGGAGAGUGGAAUUCCACGUGUAGCGGUGAAAUGCGUAGAUAUGUGGAGGAACACCAGUGGCGAAGGCGACUCUCUGGGCUGUAACUGACGCUGAGGCGCGAAAGCGUGGGGAGCAAACAGG